rnacentral:rRNA from 1 species
CCUACGGGAGGCAGCAGUAAGGAAUAUUGGACAAUGGAGGGCAACUCUGAUCCAGCCAUGCCGCGUGCAGGAAGAAGGCGCUACGCGUUGUAAACUGCUUUUGUACCAGAGAAAAUCAUUGUACGUGUACGAUGUUGAUAGUAUGGUAAGAAUAAGCAUCGGCUAACUUCGUGCCAGCAGCCGCGGUAAUACGAAGGAUGCAAGCGUUAUCCGGAUUUAUGGGUUUAAAGGGAGCGUAGGCGGUCUUAUAAGUCAGUGGUGAAAUCUCGUUGCUUAACAACGAACGUGCCAUUGAUACUGUAGGACUUGAGUACAGUUGCCGUUGGCGGAAUGUGUCAUGUAGCAGUGAAAUGCAUAGAUAUGACACAGAACACCGAUUGCGAAGGCAGCUGACGAAACUGUAACUGACGCUGAGGCUCGAAAGCGUGGGGAUCAAACAGGAUUAGAUACCCUGUAGUCCACGCCCUAAACUAUNAUACUCUCUGUCGCGAGUAUACUGUCGGUAGACGUAGACGAAGUAACGGUUAAGUUAAGUUACCGUUACCGUACGGGUUAGGUUACGGCCGGCCGACGGGUUAGGAACGUUACGAAGAGAAGUUAGUUACGGCGNGAGACGAGCGACGGACGACGACGAGGGAGGUAGG